AUGGUAAUACAAGUGAUCAAGGUUUACACACCACGCAUAUUUGAAGAUUUUCAGAAUGAAUACGAAAGAUCUAUCUCAGCAUACAUCAAGCCAUCGAUAGAACACAAUGCAUAUAUUGUUGCAAUUGCAAGUCUUGACUCAGAAUUCACAUAUGAAGAAGAGUGCAAAGUUGUAGUUGAUUAUGAAGAGCAAAAAGUUUUCUGCAAUUGUGGGCAAUUCGAAAGAGUUGGUAUAUUGUGUAGUCAUGCUUUGAAAGCACUUGAUGUCAUGAAUAUUAAGUACCUUCCAGGUCACUAUAUUUUGAAGCGAUGGACUCGAGAAGCGCGAAGCGGAACUAUACAAAACAGCCAUGGAAACAUUGUUUUGGAAGAUCCUAGAUCAGAAGACAGACAGCAGUUGAAUUUUUUCAUGCACGAGUUCCUUGGCAUAGCUUCACAAGCAGUUACAUCAGAACAGUGUAUCAAACUAGUAGAUGAUGCUUUGAAGAAUCUUAGGAAGCAAGUUGAAGAGAAAGCUCGUACUACUAGCAUAACUGAAGAUAUAUCUAAAGUUCCAAACGAUGGUUUAAAGGAUGCUUGCCUAAAGAAAAAGGAAAUUCCAAAGAAAAAUCCAGGAAGAAAGAAAUCAUGGCUUGACAUUCAGCACCCAAAUAAAAAGAAGAAGGAGACAACUAAAGCGGUACCCAAAAGUCAAAAUCAUUCUGUAAAUCUCUUGCAUAUGUCUAACCGGACAACUUAUUAA
rnacentral:rRNA from 1 species